AUUGAACGCUGGCGGCAGGCCUAACACAUGCAAGUCGAGCGGAUGAAGGGAGCUUGCUCCUGGAUUCAGCGGCGGACGGGUGAGUAAUGCCCAGGAAUCUGCCUGGUAGUGGGGGAUAACGUCCGGAAACGGGCGCUAAUACCGCAUACGUCCUGAGGGAGAAAGUGGGGGAUCUUCGGACCUCACGCUAUCAGAUGAGCCUAGGUCGGAUUAGCUAGUUGGUGGGGUAAAGGCCUACCAAGGCGACGAUCCGUAACUGGUCUGAGAGGAUGAUCAGUCACACUGGAACUGAGACACGGUCCAGACUCCUACGGGAGGCAGCAGUGGGGAAUAUUGGACAAUGGGCGAAAGCCUGAUCCAGCCAUGCCGCGUGUGUGAAGAAGGUCUUCGGAUUGUAAAGCACUUUAAGUUGGGAGGAAGGGCAGUAAGUUAAUACCUUGCUGUUUUGACGUUACCAACAGAAUAAGCACCGGCUAACUCCGUG
rnacentral:rRNA from 1 species